UUAUCCCUACGGGAGGCAGCAGUGAGGAAUAUUGGUCAAUGGCCGAAGGGCUGAACCAGCCACGCCGCGUGAAGGAAUAAGGCCCUACGGGUCGUAAACUUCUUUAGUCAGGGAACAAAGGGAGCCACGCGUGGCUCUGUGAGUGUACCUGAAGAAUAAGCAUCGGCUAACUCCGUGCCAGCAGCCGCGGUAAUACGGAGGAUGCGAGCGUUAUCCGGAUUUAUUGGGUUUAAAGGGUGCGUAGGCGGUUGGUCAAGUCAGCGGUAAAAAUUCCGGGCUCAACCCGGUCCCGCCGUUGUAACUGG
rnacentral:rRNA from 1 species